GCCUGCGGCGUGCCUAAUACAUGCAAGUCGAACGAGUUCUGAUUAUUGAAAGGUGCUUGCAUCUUGAUUUAAUUUUGAACGAGUGGCGGACGGGUGAGUAACACGUGGGUAACCUGCCCUUAAGUGGGGGAUAACAUUUGGAAACAGAUGCUAAUACCGCAUAAAUCCAAGAACCGCAUGGUUCUUGGCUGAAAGAUGGCGUAAGCUAUCGCUUUUGGAUGGACCCGCGGCGUAUUAGCUAGUUGGUGAGGUAACGGCUCACCAAGGCAAUGAUACGUAGCCGAACUGAGAGGUUGAUCGGCCACAUUGGGACUGAGACACGGCCCAAACUCCUACGGGAGGCAGCAGUAGGGAAUCUUCCACAAUGGACGCAAGUCUGAUGGAGCAACGCCGCGUGAGUGAAGAAGGCUUUCGGGUCGUAAAACUCUGUUGUUGGAGAAGAAUGGUCGGCAGAGUAACUGUUGUCGGCGUGACGGUAUCCAACCAGAAAGCCACGGCUAACUACGUGCCAGCAGCCGCGGUAAUACGUAGGUGGCAAGCGUUAUCCGGAUUUAUUGGGCGUAAAGCGAGCGCAGGCGGUUUUUUAAGUCUGAUGUGAAAGCCCUCGGCUUAACCGAGGAAGUGCAUCGGAAACUGGGAAACUUGAGUGCAGAAGAGGACAG
rnacentral:rRNA from 1 species